AUUGAACGCUGGCGGCAGGCCUAACACAUGCAAGUCGGGCGAACGAGGCUUCGGCCAAGUGAGCGGCGAACGGGUGAGUAACACGUAGGAAUCUGCCUGGUAGUGGGGGACAACGUCUCGAAAGGGACGCUAAUACCGCAUACGCCCUACGGGGGAAAGCUGGGGAUCUUCGGACCUAGCGCUAUCAGAUGAGCCUGCGUCGGAUUAGCUAGUUGGUAGGGUAAAGGCCUACCAAGGCGACGAUCCGUAACUGGUCUGAGAGGAUGAUCAGUCACACCGGAACUGAGACACGGUCCGGACUCCUACGGGAGGCAGCAGGGGGGAAUAUUGGACAAUGGGGGCAACCCUGAUCCAGCCAUGCCGCGUGUGUGAAGAAGGCCUUCGGGUUGUAAAGCACUUUAGGUCGGGAGGAAGGUUCGCUGGCUAAUGUCCGGCGGAAUUGACGUUACCGACAGAAUAAGCACCGGCUAACUUCGUGCCAGCAGCCGCCGUAA
rnacentral:rRNA from 1 species